AGUGAACGCUGGCGGUAGGCCUAACACAUGCAAGUCGAACGGCAGCACAGUAAGAGCUUGCUCUUACGGGUGGCGAGUGGCGGACGGGUGAGGAAUACAUCGGAAUCUACUUUUUCGUGGGGGAUGACGUAGGGAAACUUACGCUAAUACCGCAUACGACCUACGGGUGAAAGCAGGGGAUCUUCGGACCUUGCGCGAUUGAAUUAGCCGAUGUCGGAUUAGCUAGUUGGCGGGGUAAAGGCCCACCAAGGCGACGAUCCGUAGCUGGUCCGAGAGGAUGAUCAGCCACACUGGAACUGAGACACGGUCCAGACUCCUACGGGAGGCAGCAGUGGGGAAUAUUGGACAAUGGGCGCAAGCCUGAUCCAGCCAUACCGCGUGGGUGAAGAAGGCCUUCGGGGUGUAAAGCCCUUUUGUUGGGAAAGAAAAGCAGCAGGUUAAUACCCCGCUGUUCUGACGGUACCCAAAGAAUAAGCACCGGCUAACUUCGUG
rnacentral:rRNA from 1 species